rnacentral:lncRNA from 1 species
UGCCAGAGCUAAUCUGGGUUUCCAUACCUUGUAAGCAUACCUCGAAAGACUAAGCCCUUCCUUAAUUUCGGCAGCUGUUGUACACAGAGCCCGAGCCCAGCAUAGAGAUGGCUUCGUAAAUUGGGCGAAUGCGCUUGGAAACCAACGGUGACCCGUACUACGGACUGAGACGGAUGCUAAGGUCGUUUGGAUAUAGCAACACAAGUUGGAACAUUCACAUAAUCCAUCUACCCUGUGUUCAUUCCCUCGUUUGUGAAUGGAUGCUUUCUUAACACAGACAUUCAGAAGCUCUCCAAGUAUCCAGUGACCACUUCUCAGUACUCCUGACCUCCUCUCACAUUACGGAAUAUUUAGCCUUUGUGACCAAUGUUCGGAAGCAGGUAGAUCUAGGUUUCAUCAGAUGACAGCAUUAUUUCAGUGCUAAGAGAGGGAGAUACAUACAUACACAUGUACGUAGCUACUUAUGGUGUGUCACCCUCCUUACUGAGGCUAAGAGAAAU